rnacentral:lncRNA from 1 species
UUAGCAACGCCACCAGCAUUGCCGUUGCCUUAGUGCAAAGGCUUUUUCUGGCCAUUCAGUUGGAUAAUAUUUUCCUGCAAUGCUUUAAAGAGAGAUCAGGAUUCAUGACAGCUGAAAGAACUUUUUUGGUUGUUGGAAUGUUAAAUUCAGCGCUUAUGCUGGGAAUGGAAGUGAGGAACCGGAGAGCAACCCAACCAUCACGCUAAAUGGGAUAUUGCACUUGGAGCUGAGGAAAUCAAAUAUUCUGAUCACCUGAAAGUGGUGAUGAGGCAGCUCCCAGGAGGAUAACUGGGGCGAAGUGUGAAUAGAUACUACAUGGUCAGGUAAGUUAAAGCAAC